rnacentral:rRNA from 1 species
GAAGGGGGCUAGCGUUGUUCGGAAUUACUGGGCGUAAAGCGCGCGUAGGCGGCUCGAUAAGUCGGUUGUGAAAUCCCGGGGCUCAACUCCGGGGCUGCAUCCGAGACUGUCAGGCUCGAGCAUGGUAGAGGCGAGUGGAAUUCCCGGUGUAGCGGUGGAAUGCGUAGAGAUCGGGAAGAACACCAGUGGCGAAGGCGGCUCGCUGGGCCAAUGCUGACGCUGAGGCGCGAAGGCGUGGGGAGCAAACAGGAUUAGAUACCCUGGUAGUCCACGCAGUAAACUGUGAACACUAGGUGUAGCGGGUAUUGACCCCUGCUGUGCCGAAGCUAACGCAUUAAGUGUUCCGCCUGGGAAGUACGGUCGCAAGGCUA